UCUUUAUUCCUCACACUAUCUCACCGGUCGGAGAGGCGAGAGAGUGAGUGAAAUGAAGAGA
rnacentral:pre_miRNA from 1 species